rnacentral:misc_RNA from 1 species
UUCAAGAAUUGAUCAACACAUAAGAGCUGGAAAUCAGGACCAUGAACUUAGACAAAAAUCAAGGAAAUCAGGACCAAAAAGCUACCUACACAUUCAAUAUAUAUCCUGAAACAAAAUUCAUGCAUUGGAAUUAAAAGAGAGUGUUGUCACAAACAACUAUCUGAGAUAAUAAAAUGAUAUAUAAUAAACCUUGCAGCAUUACGCCAAAGG